rnacentral:lncRNA from 10 species
CUGUCAUCCUUGACAUUUGGGGCAGAAACUGCUGAAAUGAAGGAGGACUUGCCAUCAAAGAACUGGCUGAAAGGAGUUAGCACACCACUCCUCUGCCCUGAACAGUUCUAAGCAAGAGGAGGAGCCUGUGGCAGGGCGUGAUAUGAAGUCCUCAGAGAUAGAGUGCCAAGAGUAGAGGGAGUAUCCUGGAACUUCAGUGUUUGCAGUGGGCUUGUCCAUGUGUCCUGCAUGAUCAAAAUGACAAUAGCAAACUUGAUGGCCACAGAAGAUUGAAAAGUGCUUGGGCAUUGAGCUUGCUCUCUCUUGAAGUGCUUGGAGCCCUGAGACUGCCAUGAGACCACAUAAAUGAUCACUAGCUAGCCUGCUGGAGGAUGAGAGGUCACUUGAGAAACCUUGGCUCACAGCCUGCUUACACCAGACACAUGGAUGAGUCUGUCUUAGACUAUCCAGCUCCAGCUGAGUUGCCAGCUGACUUCAGUCACAUGAGUGAGAACAACAGAAGGACAGCACUGAGCUCUGCCAAAAUUGCUGACCUACAGAAUCUUGAGCUAAUGAAUGAUUGUAGCUUUAUGCCAUUAAGUUCUGAGGCAGUGUGCUAUACAUAGCAAAAGCUAACUGAUACAAAACUAAAGAUACAAUGGCACAAACAUGAAAAGACAUGUUCACCGAAGCAUUGCCUAUAAUAGUUAAAGACUGGAAACGACUCAGAUGUCCACCAACUCAGGAGUGGUUGAACCUACUACAGUGCAUUCACCCCGUGGAAUACUAAGCAGCUCCAACAGGGGUAGGAAAUUUGUAUACUUUCAUAAAAUGAUCUUUAGGAUAUAUUGUUAAG